CUCGUAGUUGGAUUUGUGGCGUGUGCCAUGGCGUCCAUUUAUUUGGUUCUGCCGUGGCCGUGCCAUCCUUGGGUGGAUCUUGUGUGGCAUUAGGUUGUCGUGCAGGGGAUUCCCAUCGUUUACUGUGAAAAAAUUAGAGUGUUCAAAGCAGGCUUAUGCCGUUGAAUAUAUUAGCAUGGAAUAAUAAGAUAGGUCUUUGGUCCUAUUUUGUUGGUUUGCGGGCCGGAGAAAUGAUUAACAGGGACAGUUGGGGGUAUUCGUAUUCCAUUGUCAGAGGUGAAAUUCUUGGAUUUCUGGAAGACGAACUACUGCGAAAGCAUUUACCAAGGAUGUUUUCAUUAAUCAAGAACGAAAGUUAGGGGAUCGAAGAUGAUUAGAUACCAUCGUAGUC
rnacentral:rRNA from 1 species